CACUAGUAUAGGUUGAAAGAAGAAUAUAAAUUGAGUUCUCUCAUAUUCUUUUUUGUUAUGUUUUCUGUUAUACACAUUAUUAAUCAUUAUAAAAUGAUUAAUAUUGUGAUAUGCCCUUUAGUUCUGAGGCACCUAUGGAAGGAUGGAAGGAAGAUUCAAGACACAACUUGUCACACAGUCGACAAAUGAUGUCCUUGAAAUAGGAAAUAUUCAAAUUGUGGUAGACAAUGCUAUGGUAGAAGUAAUUAGAUCAGCUGAGAAUGAAGAUACCACAUAAGACAAUAGCUAAUAUUCUUUUGAGUUUGUUUAUCUAUAAUAUAAGAAUAUUAGAUGUUCUUGAAAUACCAUUAUUGCCCUGCUGCAUAAACAUUCCUUCACGUGGAUAGUUUCACCAACUUCCCUUCAUUUUGCUUAUGCCGUGCAACUAAACAUCUUCAAUUUGAAAUCUCUCUCUCUCUCUCUCAACAAAUCUUGAUCCUUACCCAGUAACACCUUGCUAAUGAAUCCCUAACCGAAGUCGAUAAAGUAGUAUGGAUUCGGGAUUCAAGCGGGUAAGUCAAUGCUUUGAUUACUUCAAUCCAUGUUGCUGCUGAAACCUAAUCUUCUCAAACAAACCCUAAAAGUUGAUGUGUUGAUUGAAGAUAUGAAAUCAGAAGGGUUAGUACCAAACAAGGUUAUUUUGACAACCUUGCUGAUGAUAUAUGUUAGAAGGGGUUUGUUUGAGAAGUCAAGAGAAUUUGUAGCCGACCUGGAAUCUUCAGGCUAUGAAGAAGAUUAGGUAAUAGUAAUCUCUCAAUUCAUCAAAUAAGGGUUUUUUUUGGUUUUUCUGCGUCUGAAAUAUUAUGUGGAAGUUCUCUAACUGAAGCUUGCUUCUAUUGGUGAUGAUUUUGAGUGGUAAUGCUCAUUCCUCCAAAUAGCAUGAAGCAACCAUCAGUGUUAGUUAAGUUCCUCUUCACCAAAAUUUGGGGAAAAACAGUCUAUCAGGCCACUAUUUCCUUAUAAAUCUAUAUUGUUUGGAUAAGAUAAUAAGAGAGGGAAGACAUUUUAAAGUUGAUUUUAAGUUUUUAUUUAUGAAUGUGUGAUGUAUGAAUUUAUAAUUUUGCAUUUUGCAAGCAGCUGUUGAUGCUAAAUAUCAUGGAAAUACAUAAGUUUAUUAUAUGUUGAAGGCGCAUGGAGAAAAAGUGUCGGUACGAGGUUUUGGAUCCAGUGCUACAACCAUUUCUGCAUGAUGUUGUACAGUUUGGGCCAUUUUCAAAAACACUAGGACAAAUUAUGUUAACAAGGCCUCAAAUACUCCCAUCCAUAUUCAAACAGGCGAUUCAUAAGUUUAGCACCUAUGCAUAGAUAUCAUCAACAUAUUUCACAUAAACAUCGAAAUGUAUUCACUAUCUUACAACAUAAGACUUUUAGUGUAACAAUUGCUUUAAUAGUUAUACCUCAUAAGAAUCUUCUGGCCAAAACUUCAGAAAUUGAUUUUGUUCCAUGUUGGUAUUUCGACACUGCUUGAUUGGUCCAAACAUUUUAUGAUGCUUGGUUACUACACA